CCACAGACUCCAACCAGGUCAGGUGUUAUGCAAUUUAAUAUGUGUAUCGUGCAUCGACGUGGUACGUGGUCUAAGCGAAAAUAUCGUUGUAUUUUAAGUUUUCGAUAGUCCCCGACAUUGUUUUCGUAUUAUUUACGUACAGUUUAAAAGUUUAUGAAGAAUAAAAAUACAUUUUAAUUAAAAAUUGUGUUGUGCGACGGUAAAUUACGAUC